AGCAGCAAUUCAUGUUUUGAAGUGCUUUAAAUGGUUCAAAACGUGAGGCGCUGCUAU
ensembl:miRNA MIR424 microRNA 424